GUGGGGAAUAUUGGGCAAUGGGCGAAAGCCUGACCCAGCAACGCCGCGUGAAGGAAGAAGGUCUUCGGAUCGUAAACUUCUAUCCUUGGUGAAGAUAAUGACGGUAGCCGAGAAGGAAGCCCCGGCUAACUACGUGCCAGCAGCCGGGGUAAUACGUAGGGGGCAAGCGUUGUCCGGAAUGAUUGGGCGUAAAGGGCGCGUAGGCGGCCUGGUAAGUCUGGAGUGAAAGUCCUGCUUUUAAGGUGGGAAUUGCUUUGGAUACUGUCGGGCUUGAGUGCAGGAGAGGUAAGUGGAAUUCCCGGUGUAGCGGUGAAAUGCGUAGAGAUCGGGAGGAACACCAGUGGCGAAGGCGACUUACUGGACUGUAACUGACGCUGAGGCGCGAAAGUGUGGGGAGCAAACAGGAUUAGAUACCCCGGUAGUCC
rnacentral:rRNA from 1 species